rnacentral:misc_RNA from 1 species
UUUCUCCUUACUAAAUUAGGGUUUUAGCUUUUGUUCUGUCAAUUUUUAUUUUUCUGCCAAAGUUAUGGUUUCCAUUGAUGUAGUUGGACAAAACCAGGAAAUUGUACUGAAAAAUCUAAUACAAGCUGUAUUGGACUCGCCAGGCUUUAAGAAGCUGUCAUCUUUUAGGUCAAAUUUCGAGGAAUUACUACAACGUAGCGUCGACCCACCUUUUGAAGCUAUCUGGGUUCACUCAGCUUUACGUUAUCGAGGUUUCAGUUCGACAGAAAAUGACCUUUUCAAAAGACUAGCAGCCGUAAAGGGUUUGUUUCAGCUUAUAGUUUCUUCUUCUGUUUCAUGUGAUUUCUUUAAAAGCAUUGCAUUAAUUGCACCUGUUAUGUAUAAUGUGUUUGGGUUGGUAAUGGGUUUAAAAGGUUUUCAGCAGAAAGCUAAGAAAGAGAAGAAGUUUGUGAGAGAGGUAAAUGGAUUGGUUGAUUCAAUUCUUGGGUAUGUUAAUGUAUGCUGUGAGGGUGUAGAGGAUAGAUGCGAUGUUUCAGAGGGCUUCCUUAGGCCAGUGAGGGAGUUAGUGACUGUUUGGAUGUGGGAUAAGUCAUUGGAAAAUACUGGGGAUAAGGGAUGCAUGAGAGCUUUUUUUCCACUUCUGACUGAUGAGAUUAUUGAAAGGGUUAAUGCUGAAGGGUGUGAGCUAAGUGCAUUGGCUGGUUGUGUGAUUGCGGAGGCAUUUUUAUUGAAGUUAUGCUUGAGGUUUCUGGAGGAUGGUUCCCGCAAAGAAUUACAGGACGAAUUGAGGGCAUGGAUCAUUGCUUCCAUCACUGGGCUUCAGAAUCCAUACUUCUUUGAGACCCUUUUAAUGAUGCUGCUGGAGCCAUCUUUUCCAAAAGCCUCCCUACUGAAUUCGGAUGAUGAGAAGUGCUUAAGAAACAUCCUCUAUGAUGCCGUGGUACUGGUG